UAAUAUAUAGGUAACAUGCCUUCGAGAAGGGGAUAACGUUUGGAAACGAACGCUAAUACCCUAUAUGCCUUUAAGUCUUAAGACUGCAAGGGAAAUAUUUAUAGCUCGAAGAUUGGCCUGUACAGUAUCAGCUAGUUGGUGAGGUAAUGGCUCACCAAGGCAAUGACGCUUAACUGGUUUGAGAGGAUGAUCAGUCACACUGGAACUGAGACACGGUCCAGACUCCUACGGGAGGCAGCAGUGGGGAAUAUUGCACAAUGGACGAAAGUCUGAUGCAGCAACGCCGCGUGGAGGAUGACACAUUUCGGUGCGUAAACUCCUUUUAUAUAGGAAGAUAAUGACGGUACUAUAUGAAUAAGCACCGGCUAACUCCGUGCCAGCAGCCGCGGUAAUACGGAGGGUGCAAGCGUUACUCGGAAUCACUGGGCGUA
rnacentral:rRNA from 1 species